CGCCUUGAAUUGGCCGCGAACCGCCCUAUAUUGUCAAUGCCGGUCAGCCGGCUAUGGCGAUAAACGGCUCGUGCAAUAAGCGAAGCGGACCCGGGGGCAGUACCCGGCGCCUCCACCAAACCUCUUUCCCGCCGCCUCGGCGCGGGCUUCAUGGGGGCGAAACAGGAUCGACGCGCGUGUAAAGACUUGCUUUUCGCCCGGCAUGGUACCGCCGUUAUCGGGCCGAUUCGAUAGAUGCCAACGACAACGAUUUGGCACUCGCUGCCUAGCCUGGCUGGGCAAGCGCGGUUCGGGGGGCGCCGGGCAACAGAAGCCCCCCACU
rnacentral:tmRNA from 1 species